rnacentral:rRNA from 2 species
UGAAUUGCAGAUUUUCAGUGAAUCAUCGAAUCUUUGAACGCACCUUGCGCCCCUUGGUAUUCCGAGGGGCAUGCCUGUUUGAGUGUCAUU